rnacentral:tRNA from 1 species
AGCUCAGUUGGUAGAGCAGCGGUCUCCAAAACCGCGUGUCGUGGGUUCAAGUCCUGCC